rnacentral:lncRNA from 1 species
AACCCAGUGUUUUCUGGAUCCAAAUCGCAUACCUACGGUAGUCUGCCGUGAGAGGAAUAGUGAUUUUUUUCACUUUAACGCUCUGCAAAGGCGGUUUCCAAGCAUUUCUGGACUCUGCUUUGGAAAGCUGAUGAAACAGGUUACUGCUGCUGGUUGAUAUAUGCAUUUCCAACCCAGCUGUAUGUCAAAGUUGAGUGUCUCAGUUACCCAUGUACACCUGAAGAGCCAAAGAACCUUUCAGUGUAAAGACAAAGUUAGAUUCUCUCCAACGGACAAGGCAUUCUGACAGUAUUUACUGAGAACCUACUAUAUGCCAAAGCCCCUGCCCCUAGUGGUCACAGUGCCGUGACACUUGGGGAUAUCUGAGCAGCAGCUGUGAUGAGACACCGUGUUCCACGAGGGCUCUACUGUUAAGAAUCCCGCCCGGAAAGCGAGAGUUUCCAGGCAUCCCUCUCCUUAUUGGCAGGAAGCAGGAGCUCCUUGGUGUCCUCUCUCACCCAUUAGAGAUUAUGUUUGUCUUCAUGGUUUUAUGGAGCAUUCAGUGUCUCAAGAAAGAGCAGCAGACGAGGACCUUCCAAAGAACAGCUGCACCAAUGCCGUGUGGGUCCUGCAGUGACAGAGGGGCCACUGCUCGUGGUCAGACAUUUUAUUCUUACAGUAACCCUCUUCUGAUGGUGACUGGGGUCCCAGCACGAGGGUCUCUGCUGUGAACAAGCAGAAUGAGGCCCUGGCUUGGUCUGGUCUGGCCACGGGGAGCCGUUCAAGAGUGACAGCCCCGGAGACUUGCUGCUGCUCGGAGGCUGGAGCCGCCGCCGAGCCCACCUCCCUCCGCGUGGCCUCCUUGGAGCUGCUCUUCCUCUGUCUCCCUCCGACCUUCUUGAUCUCUGCAAACAACGUCCUUCCGUUCUAGGUUGCGAAGGCGAGGAAUGGCACCAGAAAGGAGUCAUUCGGACUUGUUCUUGUGCUUCUGGGGAGAGGAGCGGAGUGGGAGCGGCAGGAGGCCCAGGGCAUCAACCCCUCGUGCCCAAGGCCAAGGUCAGCGGCUCUCCUGGCCCUCCCUCCCGAGGGCCACUGCCUCCAAUUCUCCUGGGCCUGAUGUCUCCAGCCCUGGGAUCCUCUCCAGGGACCCUCAUACCUCCCUCCCUCUACCUGCGGCCCCCACCCCCACCUCCCUGUGACCUCUGACCUCCCAACUCACUCCCACACUCCAGGAGUACAGAGAAACCCUCAGCAACAAGGUGAGCAGACACCGAUGGAUGUGCACACAUGCUCUACACGUAAAGCAGCCCCUUGUUACAGGAUCUUUCUCUGCCAGGGAAUUCAAAACACCCCCGCCCCUCCUGUCCUCACGCUGCCUCUCUGGAGGCAGAGGUGUUUCUUCUGUACAACAGAUUUGAAAGCUCCUGUUCAGGGAGGCUGAGCAGCUCAACCCCCUUCAGCUGGUCAUGUCCGGGGAGUCCCAGCCAUGCAGCCGGAAGCCGGCGCGUGCUGCCCAUCCAGACCAGCUCGUGUCCGCCUCCCGCUUCCUUUGCAAGAAAAGUGUUGCAAAGACAAGGAAAAGUGUUGGCAAGAUAAGAAUCCAGGUGGUGGGGGGGACACUGUGCAUUUAAGUGGCGAGAUUAGUAGGUCAGCAAGUGACCUUCUUCCCCCCUCCCCCGCCCCUCCUUUUUGUAAGACGGGCUGCUUGAAUUGUGUGUGGAAUGUUUAAGUUCUUGUCUAGUGUCUGCUUAGAAUGGAGACAUUUUAAAACGUAUUCCAGUGUCCAUAUGGACUUGUGUCCACCUGCCAACCAAGACCAUAAGGGAAUCGAGGCAACAUGUGGACGCGUCGGUGCCUUCAGAAAGAGCCACAUAAAACACAGAUCACGUUGGUGUCCUGUGCGUCCUGCUCAUGGAACAGAACUACAUCAUGUACCUUUAACCCAAGAUCUGGGGCUUUUCCCCCAACUUAUACAGUCAAUUUUUUUAUUAUGUUUAAUGUUAGGUCGUUUUUAAGAUGCUCUUCCGUAGCUGUCCAUCUCCAGUAUUUCAGGGACGCAUUUGAGGGGAAAAAAAACCCAUAACGUUACUUGGCCACUUAACUUGAAAUAUCAUAGAACGUAAUUGGCAGUUUCCACCCCAACCUGGAGAUCUUGGGCAAAAACCCGACUGUCGACAUUUCCAAGGGACAGAGGUAGCCAGUAGUUCGCUUUUGAGAUGCAAGUCUUGUAAUACGGGUGGGGGGGAUCCAUGGACCUUCUCUUUGGUGAUUUCGAUGUCUCUCAAUGAUGGCACCUCUUCCUCGAGCGUAAAGACCUCAGACGGCAUCGCAGAUGGGUCUAGAGUGUUCAUUGAGCACCAAAGAACAUGGCUAAAUGUCUUGGUCUCCUAGUUCUAUUGCAUGACAAGUUGUGCUUUCUAAAAACUUCAGUCAAGGACUUGCAGAGACGGCUGAAGUUCCUAAAUCCACUGUGAUACCCAGAGGGCUUUUGGAUCGGGUUGGUGGGUUAUUGUUUUAAUAUGGAAGAAGGUGAUUUAUAUGAACUUUCAGGAACUUAAUUAAAAUCCAAAUCUAAGAGGAUACAUAUGGUAAAAUUAUUCGGGGGGCGGGGGGAAGAGAUGCGAAGCGGUUAUCCAGAUAAUUUAGGAUAAAAGCAUCCUUUUGCCUAAAACAUCUCAAAUGAGAAAAAAAUGAAUUGCAUGAAUCACAUGGACAGUGAUCCAAAUUCUUCAGUCACGUUUCCUUUGUAGCCAGUACAGUGGCUGCUUUCAGGCCCUUCAGCCUCUCAUUUCUAAAUUUCCUCGUCUUCUGCCACUGUCCGUUUUGUUGGCGGAAUUACAAUAGGCUCAGACUGGCACGCUUUGAGAGAAAACCCGUUGUGUUCUUGUGAACUGGCCGCUGGGUGUUACCGGGACUCCAAAAGAGUGUUCAUCUGUUUCCACAGCAACAGCCCAGUGGAUGCCCUCUGGCAGGUGAGCUGUCUGGACCCGGGGGAGACGCGCCUUCCUCUUCUCACUAAAAUGCAGGAAGGCAAGGUGGCCUCCCAGCUGGACGUGGACGCCAGCUCUCCCGCUGCCUCUUGGGCUUCUUGGUGAGCUGCGAUGCCUUUCAUGUUCAGCUCGUGACCCUUUUUCUGGCCUGUGCCUCAUGCACUGGCCCAGCUUGAGGUGCCCCAAACCUCUCACCAUAACCUACCACCAGGUUCUGGGCAAGCCUGUGGCACCCACCACACUUUAGAAAAUCAUCUGCAAGUCCUUUCCGGUGUUACCCCCCAAGAAGCUGCCAGAGUGACAAGCUGGGACGUCGGGCCUGAUGCAGGCUGACAAAGAGCAUCCUCAUCUGGCUGGUCCAGGCCGCAGCGAGCCAGACGCACAGACCAGCAUGGAACUCAACCCAAGACCCCGCCAGUCCCAACUGUCCUGGGGUCCCCAACGCUGUCCUUGGACUUGGGGGAGGUCAGGAGAGCAGAGGACUAGCUGGAAGCCCCCCCCCCCGAAAAGUGGGUGUUGGUCAAGUGGGGUCUCCAGCGUUCAGUGACCCAAUGCAGCAGGGCCCAGCCCCUCCGGUGCCACCGUGCCAUAAGCCAUUGGGCGGGGUGUGCCAGGCGGGGCCUCCAGGCACACCCUCUUCAUGCUCCUGCAUUCAACCUAAGCACCAACAACACCCCGAUGAGCACCAGUGAAAAACCCAAAGCCUUAACAUCCUCGAGGAAACCCUGUGUUGAUGUCAAGACUUAGUACAGCUAGCCCUGUAGGAUGCGGCCGUCCCCGAGAUGAUCCAGUUCGCGUGCACCGUCUCCGCCAUGCACUUCCCACACCAAACCCAGUUCUGCGAGGCUCCUGAGCUGCGCUGUAGCUGAACCCAGCAGCAGCGCCCCAUCCAUCCCAACAGCUUGGUCCCAACAGGUCCCCAGAGUGCAUUUUCCUUGCUGACACUGUUGAGUCACCCCGAAGGGGCAACAGUGAUGUGCUCCUGCCGCGUUUUGUUGGGCCAAGCUGUGGGGUGUGCAUGCACCAUCCUAGAACCACAAUUCUUUCACGUUGCACUUUGCUUGUGGUGUCAGGAAGAAGGAAGGCACAGAGGAGUGUAAAUCCUUUUUCUGUUCCAGAAGCAUGGAUAGUUUUCCGUCUUUUUCUUUUUCUUUCUUUAUUUUAUUUUAUUUUAUUUUUUUGGCCACCUGUGGCAAAUGGAGUUCCCGGGCCAGGGAUCAGAUCCUUAACCCAUUUUCCUGGGCCCGGAAUCAAACCUAUAUCCCAACACUCCAGAGACACUGGCGAUCCUGUUGCCCCACAGUGGGAACUCCUAGUUUUCUCUUUAAUCCUCCUGUUUUCUAGAAACUGCUUGUGGGUCUCCCUUUUCUGCCUUCCACCCAUCUCCUCAUCUACACUUUCCAGUCCUCUCUUUUCCAGAAGGUAAAAGCAGUGCUGAGAGGGGAACUCGUUUUCCUUCCAGAUGAAAGGAAGGAGCCUAAUUGUCAAUUUAUUACAUUAUAUAAGAAACUGCGUAUGUUCUGCCAACAACCAAAAAGCAGGAAGAAUUGUAUCUGUGAACUGUUAAGCUGUAUCUGUAUGUAGAUAAAAACACAUCAUCUUUCAUCCAUCACUGCAGACCUUGUAACCUAUUGGACAUUAAGCUGUUUUACUGUAUCAGAGAAAACGUCACCCUAUAGAUUGAGAAAAGCUGGGAAAAUCAUUCGAAAUACAGUAUCAUUAAC